rnacentral:rRNA from 1 species
UUCAACCCCUUGUCUAACCACCUGUUGCUUCCGGCCCUUUGGACUGUAUAGUUAGCUGUAUAGCCUGGCCGGAAGGCUAACAUAAAAUAUUGUAUUUAGAGUCUUCUGAAUUUUAAAAUAAAAGUUAAAACUUUCAACAACGGAUCUCUUGGUUCUCGCAUCGAUGAAGAACGCAGCGAAAUGCGAUAAGUAGUGUGAAUUGCAGAAUUCAGUGAAUCAUCGAAUCUUUGAACGCACAUUGCGCCUUCCGGUAUUCCGGAAGGCAUGCCUGUCCGAGCGUCAUCAAAAACCACUCAAGUAGUUUUGCUUGGUUAUGAAAGAAGAGUUUGCUUGCGAAUUCCCUUUCGAAAUUCAAUGGCGGAGGGUCUCAUGAUUCCGGCGUAGUAAUAACUUAUUCGCUUGGUCAUUGUGACAAUCCUGCCUCAAACCCCCAAUUCUAGUGUUUGACCUCGGAUCACGUAGGGAUACCCGCUGAACUUAAGCAUAUCAAUAAGCGGAGGAAAAGAAACCAACAGGGAUUGCCUUAAUAACUGCGAGUGAAGCGGCAAAAGCUCAAAUUUGAAAUCUGGUACCUUCGGUACC